UACGUAGGGGGCAAGCGUUGUCCGGAUUUACUGGGCGUAAAGCGCGCGUAGGCGGAACUUCAAGUCCGGUCUGAAAGCCCCCGGCUCAACCGGGGAGGGUGGCUGGAAACUGGGGUUCUUGAGGGCGAGAGAGGAGGGUGGAAUUCCUGGUGUAGCGGUGAAAUGCGCAGAUAUCAGGAAGAACACCAAUGGCGAAAGCAGCUCUCUGGGACGGUACUGACGCUGAGACGCGAAAGCGUGGGGAGCGAACAGG
rnacentral:rRNA from 1 species